GUGGGGAAUAUUGGACAAUGGGCGAAAGCCUGAUCCAGCCAUGCCGCGUGUGUGAAGAAGGUCUUCGGAUUGUAAAGCACUUUAAGUUGGGAGGAAGGGUAGUAACCUAAUACGUUGCUACUUUGACGUUACCGACAGAAUAAGCACCGGCUAACUUCGUGCCAGCAGCCGCGGUAAUACGAAGGGUGCAAGCGUUAAUCGGAAUUACUGGGCGUAAAGCGCGCGUAGGUGGUUCAGUAAGUUGGAAGUGAAAUCCCCGGGCUCAACCUGGGAACUGCCUCCAAAACUGCAUGACUAGAGUACGGUAGAGGGUAGUGGAAUUUCCUGUGUAGCGGUGAAAUGCGUAGAUAUAGGAAGGAACACCAGUGGCGAAGGCGACUACCUGGACUGAUACUGACACUGAGGUGCGAAAGCGUGGGGAGCAAACAGGAUUAGAUACCCUAGGAGUCC
rnacentral:rRNA from 1 species